CACGGCCAUAAAAGUCGAGGCAGAGACAGAAGAGAAAAAAAAAAAAAACACAUUAAAAAAAAAAAGUAUCACUUGUCAAGUUGACUUGACAUUUGCCACGUCCACCAGCCACGUAACAAAAAUAAUUAACAAUCGGUUUUAGCAAUAAUGUACCUACAUAGUUAUUAACUUAACUUUUAUAAAUUGUGAUUAAAUUCCAUUGAGUAGAAAUUAUAAUAUUGUGGUUAAAAUAAAUAAAAAUGUCAAUCAGGUGCCGAAAAUUGAUGAACAUGAUAGGGUGUUCAGUAGGGGAGACCUAAAUACAUUUAAUUGGGAUCUCAUUCAACCACCCAACGAGAGCAUCGGAACGACUAAGGGCAUAUGGUAAAAGGGAACUAAGAAGAGCAGCGUUCUCAAAGCCGGAACGACGCCAAAGCCCAACGAACGACGUGCGUGCUCCGAUGUGCACGCAAUGGUGGGGGCAAAUCGUUCCAGCAUCGAGACGCUGCAAAUCUAAACGAUCCUCGAAAUGCCGCUGUACGAUGUCUCGGUGUGAGGAAGACGUGAGUAAUCACCCUUCUCUUAUGCUCACUGCGACAAGGUGCACGGACUAGCUUGUCUAAGAGAUAUUGCGGCCGUCCUGUAUUAAUGACGCCGAACAACAUUGUCGCCAAGUGCAACUUUCUACGGGCCUCCAUCUUCAUCUGAUUGGCUGCAUUGAGGAAUGGCGUAACAUGAGACCGUGGCGGGACAUGGAAGCAGAAGCGAGCACAUGCAUUUUGAACCCGCUGCAACAACUUCGCUGAACUUGCUAACAGACAGGGCCCAUAAACUGUGUCACAAUAGUUUAGCUUAGACAAUACAAGAGCCUCACAAAGAGUUA